rnacentral:tRNA from 1 species
GGCUCCGUAGCUUAGUUGAUAAAGUGCUCGUCUGGCGUACAAGAAUUGCGAGUUCAAAUCCAGUCGUAGCUG